rnacentral:lncRNA from 1 species
UGAUUGAACUCAAAGAAUAAAUAAAUCAAACUCAAAGAAUUAAUGAAUUAGACAUGUAAUAAACAUUUAACUUUUAUCACGUUAAGUGAUCUGUAUGUAUGAAAAAAAGGAAAAUGUGUAAAGAAAAACAUUUUGUUGAGUUAAUCUAAUAAUUUUUGAUAGGGCUGCGCCCAACUCUCUUCCUCUAAAAAAUAUUUUGCUUAGUCAAAUGAGGUCAGUAAUUGUUGUGUAAGCUUGGACAAGUGUUAGCAAAAAUGAUGUCUAAUUUGAGCUUAUAAUUAAGCCAACCAAUGACUGUGCAACUUAUAAUGAGUUUGAUUAUAACACCAUGUGAUAUAUAAUUUUUAUUUGGCUCAUGCUUUGCGGAAGCUAAAUGUAUGUAGGUUAUGAGAUCUCAUGAAUCAUUAAAAUUAUCUCCCAAAGGAAAAAAAGGGCUUGGAAAUCUCGUCUUUUUUGGCUGCAUGCACCAGAUACCGGACUCCUAUAUGGACUCUACUAAUGAGCUAAGAUCUUUAUCUGUGGAAGCAAGAUUACUAAUAGGAAGAGAGGCUGGAGUUAGAAGCAACGGCCAUGAAUUAACCAGUAAUAGAAUCUAAAAUAUCAUGUGAGACUUAGAACCUGCUUGUUAUAUAAAGGGACCUGGCUGGAGAUAAUUAGAAGAAAUCCCAUCAGCUGAGAAGUUC